rnacentral:sRNA from 1 species
AGGUGUGUGGUAUUUUGUUUCUCAAAAGGAAAUGAAGCCACUAGGAUAGCACAUCUACAGUUUGAAAAUAUUAUCUUGAUUUUAGAAGAAAUGUUCUGUUUAUAGGAUGCUUAUAUGCUAAAUAUGAUUAAUACAUACAACAAAAGCGAAAGUCUAUCCUCGCAUACUAAUGAAAGUGCCUUAAUACUUCAGGUUACAUCCAAUGAAGUGCUUGAUAAGUUCGCAAAACUUUGAUGGUUUUAUAUGGAGCUGCAAGGUGGGUUAGCUGCCCUUUGAAGUCCGCAAGAUUUACUGAAUGCAAAGUGUAGAGUAGUAGUAUGUUAGACUAGAAACGCCACUAGUAUAAAAAGGCAGGCAUAGUUCACUACCUUCUUGGAAGGUGGACAAGCAAAGAAGAAUUAUAAUGUUGUGAAA